GACGAACGCUGGCGGCGUGCUUAACACAUGCAAGUCGAACGGUGAAGGGGUCUGCUUUUGUGGGCCCUGGAUGAGUGGCGAACGGGUGAGUAACACGUGAGUAACCUGCCCCCUUCUUCUGGAUAACCGCAUGAAAGUGUGGCUAAUACGGGAUAUUCUGGGUCUGUCGCAUGAUGGGUCUGGGAAAGCUUGCGCCUUUGGGUGUUUUUGGUGGGGGUUGGGGUCGCGGCCUAUCAGCUUGUUGGUGGGGUGAUGGCUGACCAAGGCGGUGACGGGUAGCGGUCCGGAGGGUGUGGACGGUGACAGGGGGACCGGGACACGUCCCAGACUCCUACGGGAGGCAGCAGUGGGGAAUAUUGCACAGUGGGCGCAAGCCUGAUGCAGCGACGCCUGGUGAGGGAUGGAGGCCUUCGGGUUGUAAGCCUCUUUCGCCAGUGAAGCAGGCCUGCUCCUUGUGGGUGGGUUGACGGUAGCUGGAUAAGAAGCGCCGGCUAACUACGUG
rnacentral:rRNA from 1 species